AUCUGAGCAACCAUGAAAUCAGUUUGAACAAGACAUGUUCAUAUUCUCAUACCAAAAGAAAAUCACAAUUUAAAAUUUCAUGACUAAAAAAUGAUAACGAAAAAAGAGCUCCUAGUAUCACAAUUUUACAAAAUUGCUGAUUAUAUAUUAUAGAAGAUCUCCUUGCAUCAUAAGGGGUAUUACUUUAUUGUAUCACUAUAUGGGUUCUCUUUCAAUGGAUUAAAAUUUGCGAAUGCACAAUACCAAGAAAGCAGGGACACGUUUUGCCAUAAAUUUGUUACAAUUUAACAAAUAGUAAAUCGGAGAAGCCCUCAAUGUUUAGUUGUUUCUUUAUGUUUAUAGAGAAGUUGUAUAAAAUGUUAAGCCAAAUUAUAAAAACUGAAUUAGACCUGACAAUCUUCUAACAUUAACCUUAUACAAUUUUUGAACAAACAAAAUACCUGUUUUAACACUCCCAUAUCACAAGAAAACAAACCAUUCAAAGUAUUAUAAUCAUUAGUUGAUAAAGAAAGAAGAGCUCCUGUAUGUUUUACAGAAAUUAUAAACCACUUGUUUGAACUUGACAGUACUUCAUAAAAAAAAUUUAAACAACCAAAAAAUAGUUUAAACAAGACAUUCACACUCUCAUACCAAAAGAAAUUCAACACUUAAAAUUCCAUAAUCAAUAAAAGCUAAAGAAAGAAUAGCUCUUAACAUCACAUUACUAGAAAUAUCAUCAACCAAAUCUAUAUGAUAUUAUCAAAUUACAAACUCAAAAAUUACAUAGUAAAAAGAAAUAUCUAAAUAUUAAAUGGUUGUAGACAAAAUACACAUUGAUAUUGUGGUUUUCCAUUCACUACUUCCAGAGCAACAUAUUUCCAAGCUAAAAAUUAGAACCUUGUGACUGAGUAUCUUAGAACUAGGAAGAUUAGGAUUAGCAGCAUCAUUUGCUUAUUACCAGCAAAUUGCUUAUUGAUUAAUACUAUUACCUAUAACCGAAAUCAAUAAGUCAUUUACAAUGUUAAAAACAGCAGUAACACAGCCAGAAAUCAAAUAAUCAUCCAUAAAACCAUAACUGAAAUCAAUAAGGCAGCAUCUUUUGAACUCUUAACUCUUUAUAUUUUAUACUCCUCACUUAUUUUAGUUAAGAGAUUCUUUUUUAUGAUUGUCUCAAGUUCUAUAAAUAUCCCAAAUACUCUUCUAACCUAAUCUAAACUCAUCAAAGACCUCAGAAGGUAUCUAAUAAUCUGAAGUAUAUCAAAUGACUUUUUUAAAAGUAUUUAAGAUUAAUAUUUAAAAUAACUCCUCUUCAGAUAACAAUAUUUUAUUCUUUAACCAUAGAAAUUGUUUUAAAGGGCCUUUGGAAGAAAUUAGCUUAAUUAAAUUGUUUACCCAUACUGGUCUUAUUCUUGUCUUUUCUGUUGUUCUUAUAGGAAUUCAAGCACAUGUUACAUUAUAUCAUUGGGACUUACCACAAGCUCUUGAGGAUGAAUAUGGAGGAUGGGUUAAUAAAAAAAUUGUAAGAGACUUCACAGCAUUUGCAAAUGUGUGCUUUAGAGAGUUUGGAGACAGGGUCAAACAAUGGACGACAAUUAAUGAAGGAAAUGUUUUUGCACAAGGUGGCUAUGAUAUAGGAUUCUUACCACCUCAACAUUGUUCACCUUCCUCUAUAUUUAAUUGCUCUAAGGGAAAUUCUUCAACGGAGCCAUAUUUGGUAACACAUAAUAUGUUGUUAGCUCAUGCAUCAGCUGCAACAUUGUAUAGGAACAAGUACCAGGUAACUAAUGUCUACUAUUUCAUUCAUCUUGGCCUUCUUUCUAAAUUUGGUGACAAUGGUUAGGCUAACAUAUUCUGAUAAUAAAAGUUUAAAAGACUUGAUAAAUAUUUAUAGUUCACUUGCUUCAAAAAAAAAAAUUCUUAUAGCACGAUUCAACCUCAUUCUUUAUACCACAUAUCCAAAAAUCAACAACUGAAAUCAAUAAGGCAACACCAAACCACACUAACAGCAGCACUCAAAGGAUAAAUUCAAUAAAAAAAAACUAUUACCAACAGCACAACAGAUUCAACAUUAAAUUAAUUUAAAUGCACUAAACAUUCUUGAAGUUCAUUUUUCUUUCUGUUUAAUGAGUCUAACCAGCAAAAUUCUAAAUAUAUGAGCAUACUGAAAAGAAAACCCAAUUUGGGACCUUAGGUAAUUAAAAUUCAAAAAUGUAGCAGAUCAGAUCAAAUUUCAUUCAAAUUUCAAAAUUUAAAGAGAAAAAAAAAAAAAA